rnacentral:piRNA from 1 species
GUGGUCAGCAUCAGAGCAUCCACAGGUGCGC